GAUGAACGCUGGCGGCGUGCUUAACACAUGCAAGUCGAACGAAGCACUUUAUUUGAUUUCCUUCGGGACUGAUUAUUUUGUGACUGAGUGGCGGACGGGUGAGUAACGCGUGGGUAACCUGCCUUGUACAGGGGGAUAACAGUUGGAAACGGCUGCUAAUACCGCAUAAGCGCACAGCAUCGCAUGAUGCAGUGUGAAAAACUCCGGUGGUAUAAGAUGGACCCGCGUUGGAUUAGCUAGUUGGUGAGGUAACGGCCCACCAAGGCGACGAUCCAUAGCCAACCUGAGAGGGUGACCGGCCACAUUGGGACUGAGACACGGCCCAAACUCCUACGGGAGGCAGCAGUGGGGAAUAUUGCACAAUGGGCGAAAGCCUGAUGCAGCGACGCCGCGUGAGCGAAGAAGUAUUUCGGUAUGUAAAGCUCUAUCAGCAGGGAAGAUAAUGACGGUACCUGACGAAGAAGCACCGGCUAAAUACGUG
rnacentral:rRNA from 1 species